rnacentral:rRNA from 1 species
GAUGAACGCUGGCGGCGUGCCUAAUACAUGCCAGUCGAGCGAACAGACGAGGAGCUUGCUCCUCUGACGUUAGCGGCGGACGGGUGAGUAACACGUGGAUAACCUACCUAUAAGACUGGGAUAACUUCGGGAAACCGGAGCUAAUACCGGAUAAUAUAUUGAACCGCAUGGUUCAAUAGUGAAAGACGGUUUUGCUGUCACUUAUAGAUGGAUCCGCGCCGCAUUAGCUAGUUGGUAAGGUAACGGCUUACCAAGGCAACGAUGCGUAGCCGACCUGAGAGGAUGAUCAGCCACACUGGAACUGAGACACGGUCCAGACUCCUACGGGAGGCAGCAGUAGGGAAUCUUCGGCAAUGGGCGAAAGCCUGACGGAGCAACGCCGCGUGAGUGAUGAAGGUCUUCGGAUCGUAAAACUCUGUUAGUAGGGAAGAACAAAUGUGUAAGUAACUAUGCACGUCUUGACGGUACCUAAACAGAAAGCCACGGCUAACUACGUG